rnacentral:rRNA from 1 species
UACAGAGGUCUCAAGCGUUGUUCGGAUUCAUUGGGCGUAAAGGGUGCGUAGGUGGCGUCGGUAAGUCGGGUGUGAAAUUCGAGGCUUAACUCCGAAACUGCAUUCGAUACUGCGGUGCUUUGAGGACUGGAGAGGAGACUGGAAUUUACGGAUGUAGCGGUGAAAUGCGUAGAUAUCGUAAGGAAGACCAGUGGCGAAGGCGGGUCUCUGGACAGUUCCUGACGCUGAGGCACGAAGGUCAGGGGGAGCAAACGGGG